AGACUAUAAUUAUUUUGAUUUUGACAUUUUUCAAUGAAAAUUAGAAUAUUGAUGUAAAAAUGUUCAUUCCCUCCAAUACUGUGAAGGAUUUACUAAUCGCAAAAUCAGUCAAAAAUAACCGCAAUUAGAUAUUUUCAUCAUAUUGUGCAGCCCUGGCUGGAAAACGAAGGCUCUCUAAUCCGGAAAGAUCACGCUUACCAAACCUUCUCUCAAUAUUCCUGCCAUGUAGUGACCCAGAGUUCCAUAAUGCUACUGAGAAGGGUUUUACUCUCCUGAACUUAAUGUAAAUACAAUUUUAUAAAAUCACAAGAGCUGGUCACUUUUCUACCACAUGUGAUAAGGGCAAAGAGUAUAGAAGUAACAAGAGGCAAAACUCAAGCGAACGUUGUGUUGCAACAAACGCACCUGUCGGUACACAAUCCGUUCUGCAUGAUAUGCAACAAUCUGUUCCCUUUAGACUGUUAAUAAUAUGUCUGUUCCAUAGUAACGGUCUGCCGUUAGCCUCCACUGGAAAGCUAACGUUAGUUUAGCUAACUGCUAGCUGAGAUAGCACGUAAAAGACCCCUUAAACCUGAAAAUAACCUUUAAAAUAUAUAAUAGCUGUUACGUCGGUUCUACUUUACUUACUCACUCAUUUAAAAUACAAUCAAUCAAUACUUGUCUUUAUUAUUACUGUAAAGUCUUAAUUUAGCUAUAGCCUGCUUUCCCCACUGUUUAGUUUGAGUAACGUUAUUUUCGACUGAAUCAAGCUGUCAGCUAGCGGUUAGCCGAAAUAGCUGGUAGCUAAACUAGCGUUAACUUCCCGGUGGAGUCUAACCUUGCGCAUGCGCAAGACGUUCACGCUGCACGGAUCGUGACAGCAGCCAUGACCAAGAUGCAGCUCCGCCAUCUUGGACUUAAUGCACGCACACAACGUUCUAUUGAGUUUCGCCUCUCGUUACUUUUUUACUCUUUGAUAUGGGUAGGAGUCGGCAUCAAGAACCGAUUCCACCUUGGAGUAGUUUCAAAAAUAACAAUGUCAAUGAAAUGUUUUUGUUUUUUUAUUGGAAUCGUUUUGGACAUUUCAAAUCCAUGGGUUCUAAAUUGAAUAUGCGCAUGUUUUGGUUUUUGUAGCAGUCACCAUAUUUCCAGGCUUGUUGUGUUGCAGGCAUGGAGCACAAUAAGCAAGACUCUUACUUUAGAUUGAAAAUUCCUGGUAAAACUGUAAACCACCAUUGAAUAAAAAUAUCCUCUUAUCUGUGAAAUAAGCAUGUGACCUGUUAACACUCCCCUCAAAGAAUCAGAAUCUUGAGAACCGGAAUAGAAAGGAAGAAUGGGAAUUUCAAUCAGAAUUGUUCUAAACAAAUUGAUGCCCAGCCAUACGUUAUGGGGUGCUAUUGUUACUUGCUUUACAUUUCAGUGCAUUACAGUGUGCUGCAUGAACAUCCAACAGAAACUUUCUCUUUGAACC